GUGGGGUAAAGGCCUACCAAGGCGACGAUCUGUAGCGGGUCUGAGAGGAUGAUCCGCCACACUGGGACUGAGACACGGCCCAGACUCCUACGGGAGGCAGCAGUGGGGAAUAUUGGACAAUGGGGGGAACCCUGAUCCAGCCAUGCCGCGUGUGUGAAGAAGGCCUUAUGGUUGUAAAGCACUUUAAGCGAGGAGGAGGCUACUAGUAUUAAUACUACUGGAUAGUGGACGUUACUCGCAGAAUAAGCACCGGCUAACUCUGUGCCAGCAGCCGCGGUAAUACAGAGGGUGCGAGCGUUAAUCGGAUUUACUGGGCGUAAAGCGUGCGUAGGCGGCCAUUUAAGUCAAAUGUGAAAUCCCCGAGCUUAACUUGGGAAUUGCAUUCGAUACUGGAUGGCUAGAGUAUGGGAGAGGAUGGUAGAAU
rnacentral:rRNA from 1 species